rnacentral:rRNA from 1 species
CCUACGGGAGGCAGCAGUGGGGAAUAUUGCGCAAUGGGCGAAAGCCUGACGCAGCGACGCCGCGUGAGGGAUGAAGGUCUUCGGAUCGUAAACCUCUGUCAGCAGGGAAGAACGGUCACUGUGCUAAUCAGCAGUGAAUUGACGGUACCUGCAAAGGAAGCACCGGCUAACUCCGUGCCAGCAGCCGCGGUAAUACGGAGGGUGCGAGCUGUAAUCGGAAUUACUGGGCGUAAAGCGCUCGUAGGCGGUAUGUCAAGUCAAGGGUGAAAUCCCCGCGCUCAACGUGGGAACUGCCGUUGAAACUGGCAAACUGGAGUGUGUGAGAGGAUAGUGGAAUGCCAGGUGUAGGAGUGAAAGCCGUAGAUAUCUGGAGGAACAUCAGUGGCGAAGGCGACUAUCUGGCACAUAACUGACGCUGAGGAGCGAAAGCGUGGGUAGCAAACAGGAUUAGAUACCCUGGUAGUC